CGAUGGAUUUUCAUGUUCAUAUUUCUUCACAAAUAAAUGGCAGGUUACAAUUUUCACCAUACACUCAGCUGCCUGCAUCUACUUUUAUCUAGCUGCACACUAUAAAACACCAGAGGAUACAUGGAUUGGAGUUCAGGUCAAUGAUUUUAAAGAUAGAACCAUCUGGCUAGGCUACACAUACUCCAUGUACUGGUCAAUUGUCACACUCACCACAACUGGCUAUGGAGAUCUACAUGCAGUCAACAUGGGAGAGAAAAUAUUUAACAUGUUCUACAUGCUCUUCAACAUUGGACUCACUGCUUACAUUAUUGGAAACAUGACAAAUCUUGUUGUCCACAGCGCAACCCGAACUUUCUUCAUGGUAGUUGAAUUCUUCUUUUUCAUUGUUGUUUCCACCUGAAAUUAUCAACAGCUGCAAAACAAUGAUGUUACAUCACAUUUGAUGAAACAUCUCAAUUUAAUAUCUAAAACCUGAUUUUCUUCUGGUAACAAGNN
rnacentral:lncRNA from 1 species